AUAAAGAGAGCUGAAUUUAUAUAUCUUAGCUGGAUAUCAAAGGCAAACUUAGGCCAAUCACAAAAUUCCUAGAAGGUGGAGAUGAUGGGAAAGGUCGAUGGCCUUUCCCACAUUUUCUGACCAAGAAGAAACACAGGCUUCUUGAGAACAGAGACAGGCUAUUCAUGCAUGUCGAUUCAUUCACGUGCAGGCAAAGCAGAAAUGCUUAAAUAUAUCGCAUUUCAAUAUGUGGGACACUAAGCAGCAUAUUAAGUGCAUAGUCCUGCAGAAACUA
rnacentral:misc_RNA from 1 species